rnacentral:rRNA from 2 species
UUAAGCGACUAAGCGUACACGGUGGAUGCCCUGGCAGUCAGAGGCGAUGAAGGACGUGCUAAUCUGCGAUAAGCGUCGGUAAGGUGAUAUGAACCGUUAUAACCGGCGAUUUCCGAAUGGGGAAACCCAGUGUGUUUCGACACACUAUCAUUAACUGAAUCCAUAGGUUAAUGAGGCGAACCGGGGGAACUGAAACAUCUAAGUACCCCGAGGAAAAGAAAUCAACCGAGAUUCCCCCAGUAGCGGCGAGCGAACGGGGAGGAGCCCAGAGCCUGAAUCAGUGUGUGUGUUAGUGGAAGCGUCUGGAAAGGCGCGCGAUACAGGGUGACAGCCCCGUACACAAAAAUGCACAUGCUGUGAGCUCGAUGAGUAGGGCGGGACACGUGGUAUCCUGUCUGAAUAUGGGGGGACCAUCCUCCAAGGCUAAAUACUCCUGACUGACCGAUAGUGAACCAGUACCGUGAGGGAAAGGCGAAAAGAACCCCGGCGAGGGGAGUGAAAAAGAACCUGAAACCGUGUACGUACAAGCAGUGGGAGCACGCUUAGGCGUGUGACUGCGUACCUUUUGUAUAAUGGGUCAGCGACUUAUAUUCUGUAGCAAGGUUAACCGAAUAGGGGAGCCGAAGGGAAACCGAGUCUUAACUGGGCGUUAAGUUGCAGGGUAUAGACCCGAAACCCGGUGAUCUAGCCAUGGGCAGGUUGAAGGUUGGGUAACACUAACUGGAGGACCGAACCGACUAAUGUUGAAAAAUUAGCGGAUGACUUGUGGCUGGGGGUGAAAGGCCAAUCAAACCGGGAGAUAGCUGGUUCUCCCCGAAAGCUAUUUAGGUAGCGCCUCGUGAAUUCAUCUCCGGGGGUAGAGCACUGUUUCGGCAAGGGGGUCAUCCCGACUUACCAACCCGAUGCAAACUGCGAAUACCGGAGAAUGUUAUCACGGGAGACACACGGCGGGUGCUAACGUCCGUCGUGAAGAGGGAAACAACCCAGACCGCCAGCUAAGGUCCCAAAGUCAUGGUUAAGUGGGAAACGAUGUGGGAAGGCCCAGACAGCCAGGAUGUUGGCUUAGAAGCAGCCAUCAUUUAAAGAAAGCGUAAUAGCUCACUGGUCGAGUCGGCCUGCGCGGAAGAUGUAACGGGGCUAAACCAUGCACCGAAGCUGCGGCAGCGACGCUUAUGCGUUGUUGGGUAGGGGAGCGUUCUGUAAGCCUGUGAAGGUGUGCUGUGAGGCAUGCUGGAGGUAUCAGAAGUGCGAAUGCUGACAUAAGUAACGAUAAAGCGGGUGAAAAGCCCGCUCGCCGGAAGACCAAGGGUUCCUGUCCAACGUUAAUCGGGGCAGGGUGAGUCGACCCCUAAGGCGAGGCCGAAAGGCGUAGUCGAUGGGAAACAGGUUAAUAUUCCUGUACUUGGUGUUACUGCGAAGGGGGGACGGAGAAGGCUAUGUUGGCCGGGCGACGGUUGUCCCGGUUUAAGCGUGUAGGCUGGUUUUCCAGGCAAAUCCGGAAAAUCAAGGCUGAGGCGUGAUGACGAGGCACUACGGUGCUGAAGCAACAAAUGCCCUGCUUCCAGGAAAAGCCUCUAAGCAUCAGGUAACAUCAAAUCGUACCCCAAACCGACACAGGUGGUCAGGUAGAGAAUACCAAGGCGCUUGAGAGAACUCGGGUGAAGGAACUAGGCAAAAUGGUGCCGUAACUUCGGGAGAAGGCACGCUGAUAUGUAGGUGAAGUCCCUCGCGGAUGGAGCUGAAAUCAGUCGAAGAUACCAGCUGGCUGCAACUGUUUAUUAAAAACACAGCACUGUGCAAACACGAAAGUGGACGUAUACGGUGUGACGCCUGCCCGGUGCCGGAAGGUUAAUUGAUGGGGUCAGCGCAAGCGAAGCUCUUGAUCGAAGCCCCGGUAAACGGCGGCCGUAACUAUAACGGUCCUAAGGUAGCGAAAUUCCUUGUCGGGUAAGUUCCGACCUGCACGAAUGGCGUAAUGAUGGCCAGGCUGUCUCCACCCGAGACUCAGUGAAAUUGAACUCGCUGUGAAGAUGCAGUGUACCCGCGGCAAGACGGAAAGACCCCGUGAACCUUUACUAUAGCUUGACACUGAACAUUGAGCCUUGAUGUGUAGGAUAGGUGGGAGGCUUUGAAGUGUGGACGCCAGUCUGCAUGGAGCCGACCUUGAAAUACCACCCUUUAAUGUUUGAUGUUCUAACGUUGACCCGUAAUCCGGGUUGCGGACAGUGUCUGGUGGGUAGUUUGACUGGGGCGGUCUCCUCCUAAAGAGUAACGGAGGAGCACGAAGGUUGGCUAAUCCUGGUCGGACAUCAGGAGGUUAGUGCAAUGGCAUAAGCCAGCUUGACUGCGAGCGUGACGGCGCGAGCAGGUGCGAAAGCAGGUCAUAGUGAUCCGGUGGUUCUGAAUGGAAGGGCCAUCGCUCAACGGAUAAAAGGUACUCCGGGGAUAACAGGCUGAUACCGCCCAAGAGUUCAUAUCGACGGCGGUGUUUGGCACCUCGAUGUCGGCUCAUCACAUCCUGGGGCUGAAGUAGGUCCCAAGGGUAUGGCUGUUCGCCAUUUAAAGUGGUACGCGAGCUGGGUUUAGAACGUCGUGAGACAGUUCGGUCCCUAUCUGCCGUGGGCGCUGGAGAACUGAGGGGGGCUGCUCCUAGUACGAGAGGACCGGAGUGGACGCAUCACUGGUGUUCGGGUUGUCAUGCCAAUGGCACUGCCCGGUAGCUAAAUGCGGAAGAGAUAAGUGCUGAAAGCAUCUAAGCACGAAACUUGCCCCGAGAUGAGUUCUCCCUGACUCCUUGAGAGUCCUGAAGGAACGUUGAAGACGACGACGUUGAUAGGCCGGGUGUGUAAGCGCAGCGAUGCGUUGAGCUAACCGGUACUAAUGAACCGUGAGGCUUAACCUU